rnacentral:rRNA from 1 species
GACGAACGCUGGCGGCGUGCUUAACACAUGCAAGUCGCACGAAGUGGCGAACGGGUGAGUAACGCGUAAUCAACCUGCCCUUCAUAGGGGGACAACCGUUGGAAACGAAUUCUAAUACCCCUUACUGAUGGAGGUGAUUGCGUCUGAUUAGCUAGUUGGAGGGGUAACGUCCCACCAAGGCGAUGAUCAGUAGCCGGUCUGAGGGGAUGAACGGCCACAUUGGGACUGAGACACGGCCCAGAAUCCUACGGGAGGCAGCAGUGGGGAAUCUUUCGCAAUGGACGAAAGUCUGACGGAGCAACACCGCGUGAGUGAUGACGGCCUUCGGGUUGUAAAGCUCUGUUAAUCGGGACGCGGUACCGGAAUAGAAAGCCACGGCUAACUACGUGCCAGCAGCCGCGGUAAUAC